rnacentral:ncRNA from 1 species
AUAAAAGCAACGAACGGGAGUAGUAAAAGUCUUUUUGUGGUAUAGAGAGCUGCGGGUUGGUGGAACGCAGUCUACGAAAACUUUGAACUCGCCCUGGAGCAGCAAAACAAAAAGAACGCGUUCUCUAUGUUUUGACGACUAACCUUCGUUAACAGGUUCUACAAGCAGGAUUCUAUGACGAAUCAACAAGAGUGGUACCGCGGUCAGCCAAAGGCUUAUCGUCUCUUUU